CCGGAAUAGCUCAGUUGGUAGAGCAGAGGACUGAAAAUCCUCGUGUCG
rnacentral:tRNA from 1 species